rnacentral:rRNA from 1 species
UACGAAGGGGGCUAGCGUUGUUCGGAUUUACUGGGCGUAAAGCGCACGUAGGCGGAUCGAUCAGUCAGGGGUGAAAUCCCAGGGCUCAACCCUGGAACUGCCUUUGAUACUGUCGAUCUGGAGUAUGGAAGAGGUGAGUGGAAUUCCGAGUGUAGAGGUGAAAUUCGUAGAUAUUCGGAGGAACAUCAGUGGCGAAGGCGGCUCACUGGUCCAUUACUGACGCUGAGGUGCGAAAGCGUGGGGAGCAAACAGG